UACGGAGGAUGCGAGCGUUAUCCGGAUUUAUUGGGUUUAAAGGGUGCGUAGGCGGGCUUUUAAGUCAGCGGUAAAAAUUCGGGGCUCAACCCCGUCCGGCCGUUGAAACUGGGGGUCUUGAGUGGGCGAGAAGAAGGCGGAAUGCGUGGUGUAGCGGUGAAAUGCAUAGAUAUCACGCAGAACCACGAUUGCGAAGGCAGCCUUCCGGCGCCCUACUGACGCUGAGGCACGAAAGUGCGGGGAUCGAACAGG
rnacentral:rRNA from 1 species